CAGUAGCCACGGUAAUACAGAGGGUGCGAGCGUUAAUCGGAUUUACUGGGCGUAAAGCGUGCGUAGGCGGCUUUUUAAGUCGGAUGUGAAAUCCCUGAGCUUAACUUAGGAAUUGCAUUCGAUACUGGGAAGCUAGAGUAUGGGAGAGGAUGGUAGAAUUCCAGGUGUAGCGGUGAAAUGCGUAGAGAUCGGAAGGAACAUCUGUGGCGAAGGCGACUAUCUGGGCCAACACUGACGCUGAGGCACGAAAGCGUGGGGAGCAAACAGGAUUAGAUACCCCCGUAGUCCCUGUCUCUUAUAC
rnacentral:rRNA from 1 species